rnacentral:rRNA from 1 species
AAUGAAUUGACGGGGGCCCGCACAAGCGGUGGAGCAUGUGGUUUAAUUCGAUGCAACGCGAAGAACCUUACCUGGUCUUGACAUCCACAGAACUUUCCAGAGAUGGAUUGGUGCCUUCGGGAACUGUGAGACAGGUGCUGCAUGGCUGUCGUCAGCUCGUGUUGUGAAAUGUUGGGUUAAGUCCCGCAACGAGCGCAACCCUUAUCCUUUGUUGCCAGCGGUCCGGCCGGGAACUCAAAGGAGACUGCCAGUGAUAAACUGGAGGAAGGUGGGGAUGACGUCAAGUCAUCAUGGCCCUUACGACCAGGGCUACACACGUGCUACAAUGGCGCAUACAAAGAGAAGCGACCUCGCGAGAGCAAGCGGACCUCAUAAAGUGCGUCGUAGUCCGGAUUGGAGUCUGCAACUCGACUCCAUGAAGUCGGAAUCGCUAGUAAUCGUGGAUCAGAAUGCCACGGUGAAUACGUUCCCGGGCCUUGUACACACCGCCCGUCACACCAUGGGAGUGGGUUGCAAAAGAAGUAGGUAGCUUAACCUUCGGGAGGGCGCUUACCACUUUGUGAUUCAUGACUGGGGUGAAGUCGUAACAAGGUAACCGUAGGGGAACCUGCGGUUGGAUCACCUCCUUA